rnacentral:rRNA from 1 species
AACAUCGAACUGGUAAGUUAAGUUAUUUUAGAUAUUGGUGUUGAUUCUAUUUAAUCAAUUAGUCAAUAGAAAUUAAUUAUUCACUAACCUAAUAUCUUUAAUUCGAGAUUGAGUUCUUAAUUUGUAUUUUUUGCUUAAUAAAUUAAAAUUUAUUAUCAAGAGAUACGUAGAUACUCUACGAAAUAAAAAAGGUCUGAAAGGAUACGUCAACAGUUCCAAGAUGACUUAGUUUGACUAUAAUUUUUUAUAGUCACUCGGGUCACAGAAUAGUCGGAAUUUACUACUUCCAUACUAUCCUUCGAUCCAAGUAAGUCUACUUGUUGAGAUUUAGUGUAAUUUGUUUAUUGUUAGAGGUUAAACUCAAUAGUCCAUCAACUAGUCACCUCCAUUCGCCUGAGCUUGGCGACUGUAGGACGAACGUUUCGUCCGCGAGAUGGUUGACUCGAUAUGGGGGUUGUUGCCUUACCCGGUAGGACCUGAACUUGGUCCCUGGAGUGGGAAUAGUCCCCACGCGAGAUUGGCGGACUCGAUUAUCGGGUCCUCUUUCAAAAACCCACACUGGAUCUGUUCAAAUCCUUGAUUUUAGUUAGUAGUUAGAGGUUCGACUAAUUAGUCGAAAAGAAACUAAGAGUUGAACUCCAUGGCUAGCUGGAUUCCACUGUCCUAGUACCGGAUUCAUAGUUAUUGAGUCUGUAGUGCUAGUCAACAACAGAGGGACAAUCCUCCACUAGGUCGGCGUGGAAGGCCAUGCCGAUGGAACAAUGCUGAAGUGGGGUCAGUAGUCGGGGUGGAAGCCGCAGGAGGAGGUGUU